rnacentral:lncRNA from 1 species
UUUCCAUGACCUCACCACUACCAUGUAACACUCAUCCGCAGGGCGUUUCCAAUAUGCGCAAAAGAUGAAAUUAUGUUUCUAAACAGUUUCAAGAGUUGUGUGCAUUUGCCUCCUAUAACGGUUGCACAUAUGCAUUACUGUUGUAGAUGUCCUAUGUAUGUCCUAAAUGGAAGGCUAAAUAUUUUGGAAGGUUUAAGAUAUAAAAGGUCCUCAGGGGAGCCUGACAGGAGAGGGUCUUGGCAUAUUCAAAGAACAAGAAGAUUUGAAUCUGUAAAACCUAGAGAAGUCAUCACAGGAAAGGACAACAAUAACAGAGUAAAUGCCACUUAUGGCUGGCGCUAUUUUGAACUUCUAUUGUUUUCAUUAUCCUGAGUUGAACCUGGGGCCUUGCAUUUGUGAGGCCAGCACUAUAUUGCUUGAGCCACACUCCCAGCCCCCUUUUAAAGUCUGACACUAAGCUUGUGAUCCCCCUGCCUCAGCCUCAGAAGUAGUUCGGAUUACAGUUGUGCAUCCUCAUCAUGCCUGGCAGGCGCUCACUUUUAUCCAAUAGUUCUGUGGAUGUGAUCAAUGAAUCGGAGAGCACGGAGAAGUCAUCCAGCUGAUAUAAGACACACAGCUGGAUGAAUUCAGACCUUCAUGGUGAAAGAUAGAACUCUCUCAAGAGAAAUGCUACAGAAUUAGGUCAAAGGCCACAGCUGAAGGCAUCAAAGCCAAAGAAGCUGACUCACUCCCCAAACUGCAGAAAUGAGACGUAUGAAGCAGGAUCAUUCAAACAGUCGGUCACUUGCUCAUGUUCCACUGGCUAUUCCUGCUUGACAACUUGUCUGUAUCUGGAAUGAACUAUAAUCCAGAAUUGGAAGGCUCACCUUUGAUCCUGAUCUUGGUACGGAGAUCUUGAGGCAAAGUGGCUAUGAAUCCCAGGAGCUUAAGACAAGGAGAUCUCUAAGUUCAAGAUCACCUGGGAAAAAGCAAGUCCCAGACCCAGGCAUGGCGGUACACACCUUUAAUCUGGGACACACCUUCUGCUGAAGGUUUUCAUAAGAACAUUGGAAGAAGGAAGAGUCUCUCUUUUUUGCCUGCCUGCCUGCCUCAUGGGACUGAGCCACCACUAGAUCCUUGGACUUCCAUCCAUAGCUGCUGCUGAUCAUUGUUGGAGAGUUGGACUACAGACUAUAAGUCAUCAACCAAUUCUCUUACUAUAUAGAGACUACCCAUAAGUUCUGUGACUCUAGAGAAUCCUGACUAAGACACCCACCUUUUGACAUUGGGACAAUAUGCUGUCAUCUACUAGGUUUAUGCUACAGAAGUGCAUAGUCAAGUUCCAAACAUUCUUCACAAAAACAUCCCUUGCAGUUUUAAAGUUCUCAGGACAAAAAGCAUCUUCUGAGCAAUCAAGGGAAACUAAGACACGGUGUAAACAUGUAAGCAUCUUUCGGGCGCUGUAAACAGAUGCACCAUUGGCCACCCUCCUCCUGCUGCUGUUUAAACUAGACCCCAAGCAACUGCUUCAGACCGCCCUAACCCAGAAUGAAUGAAAGGGGAACACUGCCCUCUAGAGGCUGCUAAGAGAAGAGAGCUUCAUGUUUGGUCUCUAAAGCUAUAAUUAUACAAAGCACCACAUAACAUGAGUCAAAACGCAGUGCACUGGAAAUCUGAAGAAGUGGACUUAGGUUUAGGGCUUUAAAGCAACCGCAGCAGUGACCUCAGGCGGCUAAAAUCCCCCGUGGACUCCACGUACUCUACAGUCAUGCAUGAAUCACAGAGUCUGUGUGGAGGCCAGAAGACAACCUGCAAACGUCGGCUCUCUCCUACCAGUUACAUUUAGGGAUUUGAACUCAGAUCCUCAGGCUUGGAGGCAAGCGCCUUUACGCACUGGUCCAUCCUGCUGGCCUCAUAGAUAAUACAUUACAACACAAGUCCAUGAAUCUUUAUUCUUUUAAAUGGCCUGUUUAAAAAAAAACCCAGCUUAACUUGUUGGCCCCAUACAAAGCAGAUGACAUAAUAUCAGCCUUCAGAGUCCCCAGGUGACAGUGGACAAGCUACCCUAUUAACAUCAGUCCUUCAGAUGGCUGCGUAGAACCCAGUUGGGUACCCUGAGAGAAUCACACCUGAGUAUGUGAAACAGAAGAGUUCAAAGCACGAUCCGUGAGAAAUCUCCAGCAGAGACGAUAGCUUCAGUCCACAAUCAUGCUGGUAUCUUGAGUUGAAUUACCACUCUUGAAAAUGAUCAUGGUAAGCCACAGAGACAGAGCUUCGGAUCUGCGUCAGUGACAAGUUUAUUUAGCCUGUAAUUAGUUAAGGUUGUCUUAUAUUGGCCAUCAAACUGCAACACAGGCAUCUGCUUAGGGAAGCUGACGUGUGUAUCUGUGCUGUUUUCGAUUUGGGUUGUACAUUUUGAAAAAAAAAAAGUUUUAGAAAUCUUUUGACAUGCGUUUACCGUGUGCUUGUGGGUGAAGUGGAAACUUAGGAGUUCUUUGGAAGAUCAGCUGGCUAGUGUUUUGCUGGGCCAAACACCGGAAGGAGUUUAACACUUUGUGUUAACGAGGACACAGGUGUGAAAGGCUAAGGCCGAGUCGAGAAGAGGAAUGUUUUGCUGAAGCAGACAUAGGAGAGAGGAUGUUCUGCUCAAGCAAGCAUGCGAAAGGACAUGUGAUGAAGGAUUCUUCGCUAAUGACACACAUGUAAUCGGUCCACUUUACAUUGCAUGGUCGAGCUGCAUUUCUUGGGAUGCCAUAGAAAGAAAUGAACACAAAACCUUCCUGGUGGUGCGCUGCAGUUUGUGUCUGCUUCUGAGGACUCCGGCUGAUUGGAUGCAGGUACUGAGGUAAGGAACAUGGAGGACACAUGACAGAAAUAGAGCUGGUAAUCACGUUGCUGUGCGAAACCUCACGUCUUCACUUAUCUUUGAUUCCCUGAGAGAGGCACAGCCAAGAACAUCUCCUGAUGUUCGCCUUGGUUCCUCUUGCUGACUUGAACCAAAGCUGAGGCCCAGCUGUCUCUGCCAGGGUCACUCCUGUUGCUAACUCAACUCUACCGAACUGGACUGGACUGGACUGCUGGUGUGAAGUGUUUGACGAGUGGCCCGAGCCUGUUAAUCUGUGAACUGCUGAUUUCCAGACAAUACAGAUGGGAAUUGCUCCAAAGAUCCUUUAUAAACAAGUAUACUUCCCCUUGCACUGCUGCUGUCUUCAGACACCCCAAGAGGUCACUGGAUGCUGUUACAGAUGGCUGUGAGCCACCAUGUGGUUGCUGGGAAUUGAACUCAGGACCUCUAGAUGAGCAGUCAGUGCUCUUAACCGCUGAGCCAUCCCUCCAGCCCUCCCUUAAUGUUCUUAAGGGAUCAAAUCACUUAAAUUUGAGGGGAAAUGAUAUUAAAAUAAGAUCAGAAAGGCAUCCGAGAUGCUUAAUGAUGUACCAGGACACACUCAGGGCUCUUUCUUUCCUUUUAAUUCCUCUCUCCCCUUGGUGCCAUUUUGUGCCCACCACGGAAUCAAGAGCUUGAGGUUAGGGCGUCUAACAUUGAGGAUGUGCCCUUUCUUGUUUCUGACCAUUCGGCAAUGUGUUCAGGGAGUGUAAGAUCAUUAGAUCCUCAGUGGCACUUGCUACUCAUCAGCUUACUCCUGUGCUUUCUGACAGCUGGCCCCUUCCAUUGCCCCCCCCCCCCCGCCCCAAUCUCAAACUCAAUAAAAUGAUGUAUUCGUUCGUCCUCCGCUCAUUCCAACAUAUCUUUC